rnacentral:misc_RNA from 1 species
UGUAAGAACAUAGUCGUAACCUGUAGGCAC